AUUGAACGCUGGCGGCAUGCCUUACACAUGCAAGUCGAACGGCAGCACGGGUGCUUGCACCUGGUGGCGAGUGGCGAACGGGUGAGUAAUACAUCGGAACAUGUCCUGUAGUGGGGGAUAGCCCGACGAAAGCCGGAUUAAUACCGCAUACGAUCUACGGAUGAAAGCGGGGGACCUUCGGGCCUCGCGCUAUCGGGUUGGCCGAUGGCUGAUUAGCUAGUUGGUGGGGUAAAGGCCUACCAAGGCGACGAUCAGUAGCUGGUCUGAGAGGACGACCAGCCACACUGGGACUGAGACACGGCCCAGACUCCUACGGGAGGCAGCAGUGGGGAAUUUUGGACAAUGGGCGAAAGCCUGAUCCAGCAAUGCCGCGUGUGUGAAGAAGGCCUUCGGGUUGUAAAGCACUUUUGUCCGGAAAGAAAUCCUUGGCCCUAAUACGGUCGGGGGAUGACGGUACCGGAAGAAUAAGCACCGGCUAACUACGUG
rnacentral:rRNA from 1 species